rnacentral:rRNA from 1 species
GACGAACGCUGGCGGCGUGCUUAACACAUGCAAGUCGAACGGAAAGGCCCUGCUUUUGUGGGGUGCUCGAGGGGCGAACGGGUGAGUAACACGUGAGUAACCUGCCCUUGACUUUGGGAUAACUUCAGGAAACUGGGGCUAAUACCGGAUAGGAGCUCCUGCUGCAUGGAGGGGGGUGGAAAGUUUCGGCGGUUGGGGAUGGACUCGCGGCUGAUCAGCUUGUUGGUGGGGUAGUGGCUUACCAAGGCUUUGGCGGGUAGCCGGCCUGAGAGGGUGACCGGCCCCAUUGGGACUGAGAUACGGCCCAGAGUCCUACGGGAGGCAGCAGUGGGGAAUAUUGCACAAUGGGCGGAAGCCUGAUGCAGCAACGCCGCGUGCGGGAUGACGGCCUUCUGGUUGUGAACCGCUUUCGCCUGUGACGAAGCGUGAGUGACGGUAAUGGGUAAAGAAGCACCGGCUAACUACGUG